rnacentral:rRNA from 1 species
GGAUGACGGCCUAUGGNUUGUAAACCUCUUUUUUCAAGGAGGAAUAAAUGACGUGUACUUGAAGAAUAAGCAUCGGCUAACUCCGUGCCAGCAGCCGCGGUAAGACGGUGGAUGCAAGUGUUAUCCNNAAUCACUGGGCGUAAAGCGUCUGUAGGUGGUUUAAUAAGUCAACUGUUAAAACUUAAAGCUUAACUUUGAAAUCGCAGUCGAAACUAUUAGACUAGAGUAUAGUAGGGGUAAAGGGAAUUUCCAGUGGAGCGGUGAAAUGCGUAGAUAUUGGAAAGAACACCGAUGGCGAAGGCACUUUACUGGGCUAUUACUAACACUCAGAGACGAAAGCUAGGGUAGCAAAUGGGAUUAGAUACCCCAGUAGUCCUAGCCGUAAACAAUGGAUACUAGAUGUUGAACAGAUUGACCUGUGCAGUA